UGUGUUUACAUAAUGAAGCCAACGAGCCGUGGCUAAAUGAUCAAUUCGGCAAUGAGUAAGGCAUAAUUAUAUAUAAAAGUGUGAUGAAAUCAUUUUGGCAAGAUUAAGAAAUCUAUUGGCAGGUAUGACCUAAUACUUUGAGAUAAUGAUGAAGUGCUCCCUUCAUUGGAGGAAUUCAAAAUGUGAACGGCGUUCUGGUGAUAGUCACUUGUCUUUAAUUUGUGUGACACACCUGUGUUCUGGAAUACUAAAUAAUUAAUAUGUAAAUGUUGUUAGUUUCUCAUUAUUGAUAAGCAUAAUUACCUUUCUGACACACAGGAAUUGUAUUUGUUAUUGUAUUUUUUUUUCUCUCUCUCUCUCUCUGAAAUUCACUACAGAAAAAUGUUAGAAAAUUUUUGCUCCAUGAAUAAACUUAGUACUUAGAAUACAGACAAUUUAUGGGUAUCUUGGGGUAUACCGGUUGUUGGGGUAUAUAUUUAUUGACUGACAAGCCUGCUGAUGUAAUGUAUGAAUGAUGGGGUACAUGCUGACAUGGCAAAAUUUGAUGUUAUCAUGAAUGAGUAGGUUGGAGAGAGAGAAGAAUAAGAUGGAUGGCAGGAUAUCAAUGGCAGCUCCUGAAGCUUUAUAAAUGAUGAGGGUGUGUGAAGAUGUAGAUACCUCAGUGUGUUAGAAGUCACUGUAUUUUGUUGUUAUUACCACAUUGUUCCACAAUUAAUGGCUGUGUGUAAUGUCUAAGUUGUUGUCAUGUGUAUGAGGGUUUUUUUUCUUGAAUUUAUGAUGAAAUGAAAAAAAAUAUGUUAGAAAAACUAUUGUGAAGCUAUAAAAAUUAAAAUAUAUUUGAAUACAUAU
rnacentral:misc_RNA from 1 species